rnacentral:lncRNA from 1 species
GCAGAUUUCGUUGAGAUCACAAUGAACCCAUUGUUUUCCAGAGAGAAAGAAAAUGUUAUUCUGAAUGGCAGUGUACUUCACCUUUCCCAUCUGCUGUCUAUAGGCAUGUCAUGGAAACCUUAGCUCUUGCACAUUGUAAAUUCUCUCAUUGGAUUUGACCACGAUUCGGGAUCUGAUAUUUGUGGUAAAUACAGAUUACAUAGGGGAAAAUGCACACUCAUAUUUAAGCACUAUUUGGAAUCAACAAUGCCUGGGAACAUCUUGGAAAAGAUUCUUGUAUUGCUUAGAAGCUGCUGUUGUUAUUUUCCCUUGUAAGCCUUCCACAGAUUAGUCAGGCAGCUGAGUGCACUUUUAUUCCCCCAAAAAUAUCCCAGAAAAGCACUAUCAAAUCCAAAUGAGUGGCACUUGAUGUGGUAAACAGCCACCCAACGGAGAGCACAAUUAGUGAAGAGUAUACUAGCCGAAAGUUCAGAGCAUGCUAAAGACAAAACCCAUCAGAGAACAGCUGGGGAGAUGCAUGAGGCCCUUUUCACCUCAAUUUUCUUUCUGGAAGAAUUGAAAGGCAAUUAUUGAGUGCUUGAAUAGAUGUGUUUGGUUUUUUUGUUUGUUUGUUUCUUUCUUUCUUUUUUCUUUUUUCAGUGAAUGAAAUGUUGAUGAUAAUCUGGUGCACACUCAUAGGAAGCCGUCUACUUGUAGACAUACAGGGCCAUGGAGACAUACAAUGUGCACAUGAAUACAGAUGAUUCUGCAGAUUAUGGUCCCUCUCCACCAAAUGCUAUGGGGAAGCACAUACGGUAACGAGAAGAUCCGGCUUGACCCAAAACUCCACCUCAGAUCUCCGGCUGGCUUAAAGGUCAUACUUCCCAUCACAAACAAGAUGAGCUCAUUCAAGGAAAAGAGGCGAAGCUGAGAAAGAGAAGUGGGCUGUCACGUUCUGCCCACGGAAGCCCUGGGUUCCUGGCAGCUCACCACUAGCUUAUUCAAGUAAGAUUUAAUAAAGCUCAAUUAGUGCUUGUUAUUUUUGAUAGA